rnacentral:tRNA from 1 species
GAUAAUGUGGCCGAGUGGUCUAAGGCGCCAGCUUCAGGCGCUGGUCCGAAAGGGCGUGGGUUCAAAUCCCACCAUUAUCA